rnacentral:rRNA from 1 species
AUUGAACGCUGGCGGCAGGCUUAACACAUGCAAGUCGAGCGGAGAGAGGUAGCUUGCUACUGCUCUUAGCGGCGGACGGGUGAGUAAUGCUUAGGAAUCUGCCUAUUAGUGGGGGACAACAUUUCGAAAGGAAUGCUAAUACCGCAUACGUCCUACGGGAGAAAGCAGGGGAUCUUCGGACAUUGCGCUAAUAUAUGAGCCUAAGUCGGAUUAGCUAGGUGGGGGGGUAAAGGCCUACCAAGGCGACGAUCUGUAGCGGGUCUGAGAGGAUGAUCCGCCACACUGGGACUGAGACACGGCCCAGACUCCUACGGGAGGCAGCAGUGGGGAAUAUUGGACAAUGGGCGCAAGCCUGAUCCAGCCAUGCCGCGUGUGUGAAGAAGGCCUUAUGGUUGUAAAGCACUUUAAGCGAGGAGGAGGCUACUUUAGAUAAUACCUAGAGAUAGUGGACGUUACUCGCAGAAUAAGCACCGGCUAACUCUGUGCCAGCCGCCGCCGUAAUAC